GUCUCUGGAUAACUCAGUUGGUUAGAACAUGGUGCUGAUAACUCCAAGGUUGUGGGUUCAAUCCCUGUAUGGGACA